rnacentral:rRNA from 1 species
GACGGAGGGGGCAAGCGUUGUUCGGAUUUACUGGGCGUAAAGGGUCCGUAGGCGGUUACGUAAGUCUGGUGUGAAAUCUUCGCCGCUCAACGGGAAGAAGCCACUGGAAACUGCGCAACUUGAGUAUGGUAGAGGCAAGCGGAAUUCCCGGUGUAGCGGUGGAAUGUGUAGGUAUCGGGAAGAACAUCUGUGGCGAAGGCGGCUUGCUGGGCCAUCACUGACGCUGAGGGACGAAAGCGUGGGGAGCAAACGGG